rnacentral:tRNA from 1 species
GCGGUGUUAGUGUAAUGGCUAUCAUUGGGGCUUUCCAAGCCUCAGAUCCGGGUUCAAAUCCCGGACACCGCC